rnacentral:lncRNA from 1 species
GGGAGGGGAAGGGGGAGGAGGAACAUCCUGUCAGGAAAGCCGUUAGUGAGUGUGUGAGUUCACCACACUUGUGGCAUCUGUGCACAUCAAGAUCUGCUGUAAGGCCUUCCUCAGACUGUGUUGAGACAUGCCAGAGAGGCUGCAGGGCUGAGUGUGCACAUCUCUCCCAAAUGCAAGGUAAGAAGCCUGCUGUGUGUAACCUGUUGGAUACAGGCAUCCUACCUCACCAGCCAGACAGAGAAGCUGGUAAGCGAUGCACAACAAACCUGCUUCACAGAAUGGUGGGAAGGGGAGUCCUGAUGUUGUCAGAAACGGGGGGUGGGGGGUGUCCACCCAGCAGGAAAAGAUCUGGAGAACAAAUACUCCUACUUCUUCUUCCCCACUCCCUCUCCCUCCAAUUUCCAUGUUUCCCACUGACCAAAGUCACGAAAGCCAGAGGGCAGGAAGACCACUGAGGAGUCUUAACAAGCAUCCACACCCUGUGGUGCAGAGCCAGGGAGUAUUUGCUUACUACUUGCCUGCCAAAGGGUUUGUAUCCAGAGCUUUAAGAUGCUCGGAGAAACUAGCAAUGAUAGCAACAACAAUAGCAAAACCCACAAGGAAUUGAAUUCUAAAACGGCCACAGGAUCUUCACAGACAUUUAUUUUUUUUCAAAUAGAGAAAUGCAGAAUGACCAAAAUGAUAUUUUUAAAUACUCAGUAUCACUCUAUCAGAGAAAUGAAAGUCAAAAUGAUCUUGAGGUAUCAUCUCAUUCCAGGUAAAGGGGUUAUUAACAAAAGUUUGGAAGAGUAAAUGCUAGAGAUGUAGAAUUCUCAAUCACCACUGGCAGAAAUGUAACUUGGUUCAGCCAUUAUGGAAAACCCUGUGAUGGAGCUACCUCACCUCUGGCUAUAUAUGCAAAGGAAAAACGCUACAUACCAGGUACCUGCAUGCCUGUGUGUAAUUUACUGAAGCACCUUUUUACAAUUAUCUAAGCUAUGGAAUCAACAUGACUGC